CGUGAUAUACUGCGAUAAGUCUCGGGGAGUUGUAUGUAAACUUUGAUCCGAGAAUUUCCGAAUGGGGAAACCCAACUCUUUAAGAGUUAUUUCAAACUGAAUUCAUAGGUUUGAAAAGUCAACCUAGCGAACUGAAACAUCUAAGUAGCUGCAGGAAAAGAAAUCAACCGAGAUUCCCAAAGUAGUGGCGAGCGAAAUGGGAAAAGCCUGCAAGAUAUAGUGUUAGAAAUAGUAGAACAUACUGGAAAGAAUGGCCAUAGAGGGUGAUAGCCCCGUAGACGAAAAGAAGACCUGGUGAGAUUAGUACCUAAGUAGGGCCGGACACGUGAAACCCGGUCUGAAUCAGGGGGGACCGCCCUCCAAGGUUAAAUACUCGUCGAUAACCGAUAGUGAACCAGUACUGCGAAGGAAAGGCGAAAAGAACCUCUGUUAGAGGAGUGAAAUAGAACCUGAAACCAGCAGCUUACAAACGGUCGGAGGCCUAUGCCCUUUUUAAGGGAAUGGCUGACGGCGUGCCUUUUGCAUGAUGAGCCAGCGAGUUAGGUUUUAUGGCAAGGCUAAGUGACAUACGUCAUGGAGUCGUAGCGAAAGCGAGCGUGAAUAGCGCGAAUAAGUCAUAAGGUCUAGACACGAAACUAAGUGAUCUAUCCAUGGCCAGGUUGAAGCUGAGGUAAAACUCCGUGGAGGACCGAACCAGUAACUGUUGAAAAAGUUUUGGAUGAGCUGUGGAUAGGGGUGAAAGGCCAAUCAAACUUAGAGAUAUCUUGUUCUCUUCGAAAUAACUUUAGGGUUAGUCUCGGCACCAUCUUUAUGGGGGUAGAGCACUGAAUCUCCGCGGGGGCCUACCGGCCUACCAACGGGAAUCAAACUCCGAAUACUAUAAAGACAGCCGGGAAAUAGACAGUGGGGGAUAAGCUUCAUUGUCAAAAGGGGAACAGCCCAGACCGUCGAUUAAGGCCCCAAAUUCUAGCUUAAGUGAGAAAGGAAGUGGAGUUUCAAAAACAAUUGGGAUGUUGGCUUAGAGGCAGCCAUCAUUUAAAGAGUGCGUAACAGCUCACCAAUCGAGAGACUCUGCGCCGAUAAUAUCCGGGACUCAAAGCUAGAGCCGAAAUCACGGGUUUUCCCGUAAAAAGGAAAGCGGUAGGAGAGCGUAGUAUAUGCGACGAAGGUAUACCGAGAGGAGUGCUGGAGCGUAUACUAGUGAAGAUGCAUGGCAUAAGUAAACGAUAAAGGAGGUGAAAAUCCUCCUCGCCGAAAACCUAAGGUUUCCAGGGUAAAGUUCGUCUUCCCUGGGUUAGCCGGCCCCUAAGUCCAGGUGGAAACACGUAGGCGAUGGGAAACAGGUUAAAUAUUCCUGUGCUGCCUAAGAUAAUGGUGAAGAGGUGACAGAGUAAGUUAAGUGCGCGGACUAUUGGAUGUCCGUUUUGCUUUGAGGUAGGCUAGUAGGUAAGUCCGCUAGCAGGAUACCAGGAAGUAAACAAGGGGAACGCAAGGGAACCGAUGGCAUGGCGCGAUGCUUUCAAGAAACAACCACUAACCAUCGAUGGCAACCGUACCAAAACCGACACAGGUGGGUGGGAAGAAUAUUCUCAGGCGCGCGAGAGAACUCACGUUAAGGAACUCUGCAAAUUAGCCUCGUAACUUCGGGAGAAGAGGCACUUUUUUUCGUAAGAGUGAACAACUCAAGCGAAGAGAAGUCGCAGUGAAAAGGCCCAGGCGACUGUUUAACAAAAACACAGCACUCUGCUAAUUCGUCUAAGAAGACGUAUAGGGUGUGAUACCUGCCCAAUGCCGAAAGGUCAAAAGGAGAUGUAAGCAUGAAAGUGCGAAGCGUUGAAUUAAAGCCCCGGUGAAUGGCGGCCGUAACUAUAACGGUCCUAAGGUAGCGAAAUUCCUUGUCGGGUAAGUUCCGACCUGCACGAAUGGUGUAACGAUCUGGGCGCUGUCUCAACGAGAGACUCGGUGAAAUUGUAGUAGCAGUGUAGAUGCUGUUUACCCGCAAUAAGACGGAAAGACCCCGUGAACCUUUACUGUACUCUGAUAUUGGCUCUUGACUUGUUUUGUGUAGGAUAGCCAGGAGGCUGAGAAGUAGUGUCGUUAGGCAUUAUGGAGCCAACGGUGAAAUACUGGUCUGGUUGAAUUGGGCAAUCGCAUACACAACAACAUGCUGGUAACUGGUGAAGCCAUCCGGUUUUGUCACGACAACAACUAUAACUAUCGUCUUAGCAGUGAUCUGUUUCCUUUAAUCACCUAUGACAAAGCCAAAGUACGAUUAGAAGAUCUGCCCAAUUACAAACAAAUAUCCGAUACCAUAUUGGACAUUCGUGAUUAUCUACAGAUGCAUCCGGUUCGUCUUUCAUCACAUCCCAGUGAAUUCAAUGUGUUAGCAUCAGAUAAAAAAGACGCUUUAUAUCGAACAAUCAAUGAAUUAAAUUUUACUGGCUGGUUUCUUACCCAGUUGGGGUGUCCGUUGGAUUACAACAGUCCCAUCAACAUUCAUAUCAACAAUAGCAAAGGAGACUUUGAUGAUAUUGCCAAACGGUUUGUGGACAAUCUAAGGUUGCUCACAGACGAUGCUCGCAAACGUUUGGUUGUGGAAAAUGACGACAAAAACAAAUGCUGGAGUGUGCGGAAGCUAACCCGUCAUCUGUAUCCCAUAUCUUUAAUAC
rnacentral:rRNA from 1 species